ACGCUCGACACCUACGGGAGGCGGCAGUAGGGAAUUUUCGGCAAUGGGGGGAACCCUGACCGAGCAACGCCGCGUGAAGGAAGAAGGAAUUCGUUCUGUAAACUUCUGUUAUAAAGGAAGAACGGCGGAUAUAGGGAAUGAUAUCCGAGUGACGGUACUUUAUGAGAAAGCCACGGCUAACUACGUGCCUGCAGCCGCGGUAAUCUGAGCGGGCUGGCAAGGC
rnacentral:rRNA from 1 species